rnacentral:tRNA from 1 species
AGAAAUUUAGGUUCAUACUAAACCAAGGACCUUCAAAGCCCUAAAAAAGAGCACAACCUCUUAAUUUCUG